CGCACGGCGUGCCCGUUUCCUCUGCAAGGAGCCGCACCUCUCGCCUAUAGCCGUGCAGCGCGUCAUUCAAGCCCUCGUCAGCGACCACCGCGGCCGCCGUGCACUUUGCCGAUGCUGCGCCGCAGUCUGCGCAUGCCGGCGCCGUCGCCGGCAGCUGCGCAAGCAAACGAAGUCAUCGUGUCCGGCGGUGGUCUUGUUGGGGCUGCCAUGAUGGCCUCUCUACAGCAGCUGCGCAGCCAUCUUCACAGAAGCAGCGCCGCGCCGCCCCUCGCCUCGCACCUGGCCCGUCUGAUGCUGGUAGACUCGGGGAGGCGGCCGGUUUACAACGCUGCCAACAUGAUGCACACACUUCGCACCGUCGGCAUCACGCCCGUGUCGAGCAAGAUCAUCGACAACCUCGGCGCCUGGGACCAACUUACCACCAAGCACCCGUACUACCGCAUCGCCGUGCGCCACGAGCAGGCGAACAGCCCCUCCCUCGGCGCAGGCGGUCGCUCCUCAUCCUUCUUCAUGACCAGUGUUCUGGGCAACAGGACGAGCUGUGAGCCUCUCCUGGAGUUUACCGACUUGCGCAAGCCUGUCGGCUUUAUCUGCUUCAACGCGGAGCUCAACAGCUGCAUGAUGGACGUGGUGGAGGCUCGACAGCGCGCUCUCGUCGACACCCCAGGCGCUCACGACACGCUCUGCUUUGGGACGCACCUCGAGGGAGUGCAGAUCCCGAGCCAAGGGACUCUUGAGGGGUCGUGGGGAUCGGCGAGGCUCGUCUCCGGCGAGACCAGCACCGAUGUUGCGUUCGGUCUGCUUCUCGGCUGCGAGGGGCGCGGCAGCUCACUCCGCGACGUCCUCUCCACGCCGUCGCUGCAGCAAGACUAUGCGCAGACGGCGUUCGUGUGCAGCGUGCGACUGGAGAAGGCAGACGACGGCAACGUGUGCAGCUUCCAGAACUUCUUCCGAGAUGGCAAGAUCAUUGCGCUGCUGCCGACCUCCGAGGACACGGCGAACAUCGUCUUCAGCACCACGCAGCAGCACGCAAAGGAGCUGCUGGCGAGCACACCGGAGGACCUCGUCGCAGAGCUGAACCGCCGUCUCUGGUCCUUUGCGCCGAACGACAUACCCAGGAUCCGCGACGUGCCGCAGACAACCACGCCAGAUGGAAAGGUGUGUCGCGCGCAGGGAUCCUUCCCGCUUAAGCUAAACCUCGCGACCAUGCCCUACGCCCCACGCGCGAUCCUACUCGGCGACGCGGCGCACAGCAUUCAUCCCCUUGCCGGACAGGGCCUCAACCUUGGCAUCUACGACCUCUGCGCCCUCACUUCGGUGCUCGAGCAGGCGAUCCGUAGCGGCCAGGACAUCGGCAGUAGCGUCGCCGUGGGGCAGGUAUUCGCCGGCCAUAUGCUCAGCCACACCGCGCCCAUUAUUACAGGCAUGGAGAUAAUCAAGAAACUCACGCACUGGACGCCUGGUCUGGCGUCUGUAGGGAUGAGAGCCCUGAAUAGCGUUCCAUUCGUCUCCACCUUGGCGAAGGACGCCAUUCUGCAGGUGUCCUCUGGCGCCCUCUUCGCUGCACAGCACAAGUGCUGCUUCCUCCUUCAGUAACCUCCAACCGUGUCCGCGUCGCCUUCGUUGGCGCACACGUGGAAAGACGAACAAGAGAAGGGAGAUGAACCAGCUUACGCCGCCUGCCCCCAUGGUCGAGAGGAGGAGGUGAGGGGCCCUUGGGGAUGGGGUGGGGGUUGUUAGCAUGCCCAUUCUCUGCGGCAGAGCACGAGCUUCACUCCUCCCUUCCCCGUUGGCCGUGUCACAGGCCCCCGUCGCACCGUGCGCCAGCCAGCCGUAGACACACGCGGCACAGCAAUGCGCCGACGCAGCCAUCGGCGCACGGCCCCUGCCUCAACCUCUGCCCGCACCGCCGCCUCGCAGGUCCGCCGCCUUGGCGCAUCCCCGCUCGGGGGGGGGAGGGGCGGCUCUCAGGCUCCCCGCCACACCAGCAGUGGGCGCUGUGAAGGCCGGGGCGUGGGUGGGACAGGUUCGAGGCACGCGGACGCUUCGCCUGUCAUACGGGUGCCACAAACGUGUCCGCGGCCGCGGGUGGCUCCGACGCAACGCCAUCCAGGAUCUGAUGGCCGACAUGCGUAGCGCCACACCGCUCUGCGCUCCCCCCUCCCUCCCACGUCGUCGGCGCUGGACGCCGAGAUGCCGCGCGGGGGUGUCCAGCGGCAUCGGGGAUAGGAAGGCGACGCACGCGCACAUAGAGAGGGAGGUUGGUGAGUGCGUUUUUUUUUUUUGGGGGGGGGCAAGGAAUGAGGCGCGAGUCGAUGGCAGCGUACCCUUCUCCAGCCCUAUCUUACACCCUCCCCUGUGUGUGCACGCGUCUCCGGCCUCCCCCACCUCCGGUAAACCACUCUCUCUCGGCCAUCGGAGGAUCUGAAGCGUGACGGGAUGCAAAGAGAAAGCAAGCACGCGACUCGACAGCAUCAACUGAGACACACGCGAAGCCGCCGCAGCGACGCGCGUGAAAAGCGGCCCGGCUGACAGGGCCGCCAUAACUGCAGGACCCGCGUCCCUCUGAGACACGCAACGUCGUUCUCUGC
rnacentral:misc_RNA from 1 species